rnacentral:rRNA from 1 species
GUCUAUGGCCAUAUUACCCUGCACACACCCGAUCUCUUCUGAUCUCGGAAGCUAAGCAGGGUUGGGCCUGGUUAGUACUUGGAUGGGAAAAUCACUUAAGUAAUCCACAAAAUUAAUAGACU